UACGAAGGUUCCAAGCGUUGUUCGGAAUCACUGGGCGUAAAGGGAGCGUAGGCGGCGUGGUAAGUCAGAUGUGAAAUCCCGGGGCUCAACCCCGGAACUGCAUCCGAUACUGCCAUGCUAGAGGAUUGGAGAGGUAGCUGGAAUUCUUGGUGUAGCAGUGAAAUGCGUGGAUAUCAAGAGGAACACUCGUGGCGAAAGCGAGCUACUGGACAAUUCCUGACGCUGAGGCUCGAAGGCUAGGGUAGCGAAAGGG
rnacentral:rRNA from 1 species